rnacentral:rRNA from 1 species
GACGGAGGGUGCAAGCGUUGUUCGGAAUUACUGGGCGUAAAGGGCGCGUAGGCGGUCUGUUAAGUUCGGUGUGAAAGCCCGGGGCUCAACCCCGGAAAGUCGGCCGAUACUGGCAAGCUAGAGUACGGAAGAGGUAGCUGGAAUUCCCGGUGUAGCGGUGAAAUGCGUAGAGAUCGGGAGGAAUACCGAUGGCGAAAGCAACCGUCUGGGCCUGAACUGACACUGAGACACGAAAGCGUGGGGAGCAAACAGG